ACUGCAUGAAUAAAGAACAGGGAUUGAUCUCAAAAACAUUUCUGGAAGAUGCAGUUUAUUUCAGAGCUGGUCUUGAAGCACAUUUUCAGAUGUGAUUUGAAAAAGAGGUUGUGAGCACAGACUUCAGGAACAGUGCGCUGGUGAUACUGUGUUGUGGAGAAAUGUCACAGUUCCUGUGAAAUUAAGUGCUUUUUCCUAGCAUGCACAUCUAGAUUUCUGUAUUCAGUUUGAGCACCACUGAAGGGUAGACUCCUCCCUUUGGUGUAGGAAAGGCAUCUUCCACAGAAUCCAUCAGGUAGAAGCCCAGGCUAAUACUUGCCCCCCCAAAUAUGAGGAAACUUCUCUGAGUCCCAACCACACUCUUCUGUUUCUCACAGGCAAAGGAACAUCCAAUUAGCAGAAUAACCUCUUACCAGUUCCAGUGUUUCAUACAAAUAAUACUGUCCUGACAUGCCUGGAGUCAGUUGUCUUUUGUUACCUUCUUCCCCUCUCCAACCUCUCUUUCAUCCCCUCCACUAGUCCAUGUCCUCCACUUUCACAUAACUCUCUGAAAUGCAUUUAAGGUGCAAACCUUGCCCCCCAGUGUACUUGGAAAAAAAUGCCUAUUAGGUAUUUGAAAUAGUGUUUGACACAGAGCUCAUCACUGAGGUCAGUUAUUACUUGCUCGUUUCUUUCUAACAAUGUACAGGGAUGGUUAUGUAGGUCUCUGGCAGACAUCCUUCAGCAUAGGCUACAGGGAAGCUGACUGAUGGAAGUGAAGAGAAUGAGUCACCUGAGAAAGGCUCUCCCUGGCUCUGGACUGCCUUUAGAGCACAGUCAUAAGCUGAAGGUGUAUGGAGCUCUUCACUUCUAAAAAUGAGGAUAUUUCUCUACAGCAAACUUCUGGCACCUCAGUCAUGGCACAGCAGACUCAUAAGGACUGUGCUGUGCUCAUGCUUCCCAAAGACAGACAGUAUAUCUGCCAUUUGUUGAAAGGGCUGCAGGAGGAGUGCAGAAAGGCCAAAUCCAAAAGGUUCGGUUGGCAGAGAAGUUUCUUCUGGAAAUUGAUGAGGCAAACUAAUUUCUUAGUUGUUAUUCAAAACAAGGCUUGAGAAGGGAUUACCUCUUCCACAGAUUCAUGGUCUUUAGUGAAAUUUAUGAGAACGCCAUGUCAGACACCAAAGAGCUGUUGAAGUUGUCAAAUUUCAGGUAAGUACAAAUUGUACUAGCGCAUGCAUUGAAUGCCAUUUUACCUCUGGCAGAUGUGUGAGUCACUACUACACCCUCCUACUUCAUUCCAAACUGACUGGAAAAAUCUGUCUUUCAAUAGGAAACCUGGGGAGAGAGGGAGAUGGAAUGGUUCUACGGAGAAAAUUGUUGUGUAGGAGAACUCAAGUUACUGAUGGUCAACAGCGCACAUCAGACCCCAACAUUCAUUCCAGUUGCUAAGAGUUUUGUGAGAAUAAGAAAGGCUCAGCAGUUGUAUGAUUUAACAUCAGGAUGACACAUUUUACGAAGGUGCUGAAGGAAAGACAAUCUCGACAGACUGAAGUUUGCCAUGAAAUGAAAUGAGGCAGCAAUCUAUAAAGGUAUGCAAAAUGAAACUGAAUCACUGAUUCUGGAUCAGAUGAACUGAAUGUGGUCCUCAAAUUACUAUCAUGAAACUUAAAUCAACAAACAAAGAUGAUAAAUUCAGGUCCUCCCUGCAAGACUUUUGUGGUGAGGCAUUCAUUUGCUCCUGCUGCUUAUUCUUUCACCUGAAACCAUUAUGAGUCAGGAGCCUGGCAGAACAUUUGAAGGGAAAGGUAACUAUUUGAGUAGUAUUUUCCACAGCUAACACAUAUGAGCACCCAGACAAUAAGAGGUCUACCUCAAAACAUAACAGACAAGAAAAUCUAUCAGGAAGGUAGUGACUGUCCUCCCACAGGAGCACGACAACACAUGGCACACAGAAUACAUCACUGCCUACUGUAGAUUUUAUCAGUGCUAGCUUUGCUCCACAGAAGGACAACACAAGGUGAGUAAUACAGUUUUCUUUACAGGAUAAAUUCUGCAAUGUAAAAGCCAGGAGCAGUCCACAAAACCUCACACUACAAAACCAUUUCUAUGUGCCCUUAUUGUAUUUCAUGAAAAAAUGUGGGAUGAACAAUAAUGACAUGAACAGAUUUUACUUAUAUUAAAUAAACCAGUGCAUCUGAGAGUGACCUUGAUCUCAUAUAUAAUCCUGAAAUAGAAUAUAGUAAAUAAAUUAUGUUAUAGGAAGCUUAACAGCUUCUUUGUGAAGUUUCCAUUGGGAAGCAGCUGUUCAGUUGAUUGGUCACCUUAAAGAAAACCCUAAAUGAAAGAAUUAUACAUUAACAUUCUCAAGCAGUAGUUGUCUGUAACUGGAAAUGCCAAUAUAUGAUUAACUUCCCUGAGGUCAAGGGCAAGGUAAUUUAAAACAACAUAAAAUGUAUAUUUUUGAACUCAUAUGAAAAAAUGUAGCAAGAAGAAAGGUUACAGUCAGUAUUAAUACAGCAGAACUUUUGGUAAAUGCAACAUAAUAUGAAAAAUUAUCACCAUAUAAAAUAAGUCACUAACUCUCAGGAUAAAAAAAUGAUUUUACAAUUUCAUCUCACUUCCCAUCUGCAGGCAUCCACAAUUCCUUCAUGUGCAACAUGUUCCUGCUGUCUCUGCUUCUGCACCAUAUUUAUUGUGCACUGACUUUUUUCAAAAAUUUGAAGUAAGGGAUAAUGAGGCUGCAUUUUCAAAACACUGCAACCACUAGUUCGGUUUUGCAGAUGACACACCCAUGCAUGUAAUCAGCACAUGCAGUCACAAUUGCAUUCCAAAACUCAAUUGCUUCUCACUGUAAAAAUUUAUUGUGCCCAUAAAAAGCUAAAAAGCCCCACCAACAUCCCCCAGGCACAACCCUUGACUACCAAAAAUACAAAUAUAUAGUCCUGGAGCAACUGAUUAGCCACAUAAGAAUUUUGAGAAUCAGCAACAUAACUCAGGCAUCAUUUCAGCCACAUAUGCAGCUCUGCACAGAUUUGAGACUGGUUAGAAUAUGAGUGUUCCAUUCUGACUCUGUUCCAUUCGAACACAUUCUGUCUGAGGAAAAAUUAACUGUUCAGUGCCUCUGCAUAUGUAGCAUCUGCUCCUUAAAAACCUAGUUUAUUAUAUUUGGAAAAAAAAAAAAACCAACCAAAAAACCAAACCCAGGAUGAGAAAAUCUUUCUAUUUUGUAUCCAGUUAUAUUACAAUAUUGAAAAUGUAUUUUAAUCUUUCUAUCAAAAAAGCAUUAUGCAAGUGUGAUGCUCAAUUUUCUCAUCCAAUCAGAAGAAUCAUGGGGUAAAUAAAAAGCAAGAAAAGAGGAAAAUGACCCCGCAGCACACAAUAUAGAGAGCACGAAAACACUCCCCUCCCUUCCACAACAGCAAGUGCAAAAUACAGCAGAUUUCAACACUCACGGCUAUCGUAGCAUAUAUUGCCCAGGGCACGUCCCGUUUGAAGCAAUACUUCCUGGUCUUUGCAGUUUAACAGCUGCACCAAGGGAGGGAUCAACCCAGCAUCCACACAGGGGUUCCGCAUGAAUUCUGCAAAGAAAGCAAAGCCUCUUAACGCCAGGCCAGCUAUUCCCAAUUCAUCAAUUCCAGUUACACUGGCCUGGCAACUGGGCCUUUUGUGUGCCCUAAACACGUGCACAGACAGUGUAAAUUCUCACGCAAGUUUCUAGAUAAUAAACCCAAGUCAGGAUUUGGGCUUAAUUAUUUCCAUUAUUUACUAAUUUAGAAGAAAUUAAGGGCAUUUAAUUGACUUCCAUGGAAACGAAUUUAAUAUAGAUCAGACUAAGCAUAUUUUUAGCAUCACAAAGAAGUGCUGCUAAGAACAGUGAAUUCACAACAAAUUCAAUAUAAACUUGAAUUUCUAAAUAACACAAAAGAUGACUUAAAACUAGUAUUCUAGGGCAGCAUUUUUUACUCUCUAUUGCCUUAAUUAGAAUUACAGAAAAGCUUUUGCUUUAACAGAAUAAAAAAAAAGCAGGGGAAAAGAAAAAAGCUCAGUAACAGGCUUUUAUUUGGAAGGUGAAGAAAAGAACAGAAAAAGAGAAUGAGAAAUACAAGAGUUUAUGUGAGCCCAAAGGCCUGUCGCUUUCCACAAUCUAACUGAUGCCCACCAUGGGAGGAAAGGUAGAGGACCCAUCCACUGGGAAGCUCUCUGCCCUUCCUUCCUGCUAUACUACAGAGAACCAGAGAAUUAUUUUACAUCUGUGCAAGUCAUAGAGAACUAUCCUGGUGUCAGAGAGAUAAAGAGCAGUUCUAGAGAAGGAGAUACAGCUAGGCAGGCACUGUGCUGCACAUUUUAAAAAGGUGGUUUAUAGAAGGAACCACCUGAUAACACCAGUGUUAUUUCACAGUUUACUACCGAGCACUCUUUAGAGAUGUAGUAUUGUUAGGCAAAUGGUCAAUAUGUUUUUGAUUAGUUCUGAACUGCAAAUUAUCACAGAAUCACAGAGUGGGUAAGAUUGAAAGGGACUGCAAUGGCUCAUCUGGUCCAACAUUCCUGCUUAAGCAGGGUCACCCUAGAGCACAGAGCAUAGGAAUGCAUCCAGAUGGUUCUUGAAUAUCUGUAGUGAAAUAGACUCCAGAACCUCUCUGGGCAAUCUGUUGCAGUGCUUGGUCACCCAUACAAUAAAGAACUUCCUCAUACAUUGGUAAGAUCCCCUCUCUGUCAUCCCUUCUCAAGGCUGAACAGACCCAGCUCUCUCAGCCUUUCCUUGUAACAGAUGCUCCAGUUCCCUCUCAUCCUUGUGGCCUCUGCUGGACCUGCUCCAGGAACUCAAUGUCUCUCUCGUACAGAAGAGCCCAAAACUGGACAGUAAUCAGGAUGCAGCCUCACCAGGGCUGAGCAGAGGGGCAAGUUAUGUCUCUUCCUGAUCCUAAAUAAUAUUGCAUCUUUCAGAGUCAGUUUACUUUUGUGUUACUUAAUCAUUUAUGAGACAGAAUGAACCAGGGUGUACAAUCCCCCUAAAAACAGAUGAGAAAAUUUUUCUGAUUCUGGAUCAACAGAUUUCCUCAUGCUAAUACCUCAAAGAUGUCAUACAAUGCUUGAAGUACAAAUACAUCUUCUCAAAUACUCAGUUUGUUGGAUCUAUUACUACAUUCUUUGAUGUUUUGGUAGCUACAAAAUCUAACCUCUUUUGUAUUUGUAUUUAGUCCUGCAGUGUUAUUUUACCUAAAGAAUUGUCAGAGGUAAGCAAUUAUCAUGUGAUGAUAUAACUCUGAUACAUCAACACACAGAUUAAGAAGAAUUAGCAAUAUCUCUACACUUGCAAGGUCCAAGAAAAGAUAGAUGUGAGCACAAUUAACCCACCUUCCCAAGGUACUGUAACAUUUUAGAACUGUGGCUAGAUGCUAUAGUGUGACAGAUGGUGAUAAUAUCCAUUGUAAUGAACAUAACAAAUAUCAGAUACAUCUGGUCUUUAAAACUGGUCUUGCCAUGUCCUUGUAACAUUCAGUAUAUUUCCUUAUCACCCACUUUCACCUUCAUUGCAAUGUUUAUUUAUUACAUGUAAUUAGUUUCUUCCUCUGUCUUCUCUGUCCCCUCAGCCUCUUCCUCUCAAUUGCCUGUAAAAACUCUUCCCUGUUCUUCAGCUAUCCCCACAUAAUUUUCUUUUACACCCACUAACUUACCAUAAUCUUUACAUCAUCAGUCAGGUGGAUUUUUUUCUCCUAGUCUGUAUCAGGAAAUGAAACUUGUUCUCUCCUAAAUGACUGAGAGGUCUCAGUCUGUUCUGCUGUUUGUUUAGGUUCUUCCUCACGUGGUGAAAAGGAGUAAGAAACCCUUCCUCCACCCUCCCUCCAUUUGGAGCGAGUGGGAGCUUUUUCAGCAACAAAAUAACUGGUCAAUCACUGAGCAAACUUGUAUUUAUCAAGAUCAUGUAAGAGCAAGAAGUAAAAUAAAUUGUGCCAUAUGUAUCAAAAUAAUCUGUGAAACAAGAACAAAGAUGGUAACUGCAACUACUUUUGCAGCAGAUACUAUACAGAAGUAAUAGAAGGAUGAGAAAGUAGUUGAGAACAGAGUCUUUAAAAGGUUUCCACUAAACUGGGAGAGAAAUGAAGCAGAUCCUUAGAAGAAAACAGCAAAGAAUCAUUUGAGAAGUUAGGAGAACAACCACUGAGGGCACAGUAACAUAAACCAAAAGGACAAGAUUUUGAAAGUGAAAUGUAAUUGUGUUUUAAUAUUACAGACUGUGAAGAUGAUGUUCUCUCAUUCCUGCACCUGGCAAAGAAGACAAAACUAAAAACCUUGGAAGAGGGUUUAAAAGGUCCACAGUGGAGAGAGAAACUCCAUGUAACAAGUCCAUCUUAGCCUUCAUGAUGCUCACAGUUGAAAGGCAAAUGGUUGUAGUUGGAGAGACAUGAGUGACUAAAGGGAGUUUUCUAUGUUUGGGUGUUUAAAAGCUGGGAGGAGGAAGAGUCAUGUGAGCAGAGUGAAACAGCAAGAGCAUGAAGAGGUGAAAAGAUGAAACACAACAAAGCCACCAAGGGAAGGAAAGUCCAAAACAGAAUCUGUGCCUCUUCAGCUGUGACAGCAGCAAGUCCAGGAGUGAGAAAUUCAGCCACAAAUGUCCUCUACCCUCAUCACAGGGUCUGCCCAUAGUGUCUGCUUGCAGG